rnacentral:rRNA from 1 species
UAAUACGGGAGGCAGCAGUAGGGAAUCUUCCGCAAUGGACGAAAGUCUGACGGAGCAACGCCGCGUGAACGAUGAAGGCCUUCGGGUCGUAAAGUUCUGUUGUUAGGGAAGAACAAGUACCAGAGUAACUGCUGGUACCUUGACGGUACCUAACCAGAAAGCCACGGCUAACUACGUGCCAGCAGCCGCGGUAAUACGUAGGUGGCAAGCGUUGUCCGGAAUUAUUGGGCGUAAAGCGCGCGCAGGUGGUUUCUUAAGUCUGAUGUGAAAGCCCACGGCUCAACCGUGGAGGGUCAUUGGAAACUGGGGAACUUGAGUGCAAAAGAGGAAAGUGGAAUUCCAAGUGUACCGGUGAAAUGCGUAGAGAUUUGGAGGAACACCAGUGGCGAAGGCGACUUUCUGGUCUGUAACUGACACUGAGGCGCGAAAGCGUGGGGAGCGAACAGGAUUAGAUACCCUGGUAGUCCACGCCCUAAACGAUGAGUGCUAAGUGUUAGAGGGUUUCCGCCCUUUAGUGCUGCAGCAAACGCAUUAAGCACU